rnacentral:lncRNA from 1 species
AUUAUAGAAUGCAGCAUUCUUGAAGGCUUUCUUCAUGCGUACGUCUUUUCAGCUCAUCCAAGUUAUUCUUCAUAUCAUGUUUUUCAUUCUCACGAGCUUCUUCUCUUUUAUCAAAGAGCUUCUCUUGCGCUUCCACAACUAUUUUAAUGUUUUUCACCAUAUGAGAAAAAGAAACAAGUUUCGUUAAUUAAAGCGUAACCCCUUAGGACUUGUGAGUUGUGAGCAGCAUAUUGGAUACUAACAGAUCUAAUACUCAUAUUUGUUUCUAAAUCUACAUCUUAGGCAACUUCUGAACUCGAGUACAGAAAUAGUUAAACCAUAAAAAUUGAUAGAUGCAAAGUUAUAACAACAAAAAAGAAAAAAAAAUGGCGAGAAAAGGACAAAC